rnacentral:misc_RNA from 1 species
CCCGCAAUCAGUACACUCCUACACUUUAAAAAAUAAUAAUAAUAAUACUAAUCACCUCUCUGGCAAACACUCGAAAUAUUCUGUCCAGUUUAUUUAAAAAUGAAACCGAGAACCGUUGAUGAUAAAACAGACAACACGAAAACCCGACAGCAAGGACGAUAACCCUAAAAACAGAAACCCGGCAAAUCCCAACGCGAUAGCGGUGUAUGAUUGCACGCAGAAAGCAUUGCUUACCCUACACGUGUCACCGCCGUUCAGCGUCCUUGCC